rnacentral:tRNA from 1 species
GCGGGAGUAACUCAGCAGGUAGAGUCCCUGCCUUCCAAGCAGGUUGUCGCGGGUUCGAGUCCCGUCUCCCGCUCCA